rnacentral:rRNA from 1 species
UGGGGAAUUUUGGACAAUGGGGGCAACCCUGAUCCAGCCAUCCCGCGUGUUCGAUGAAGGCCUUCGGGUUGUAAAGCACUUUUGGCAGGAAAGAAACGUCAUUUGUUAAUACCCCUUGAAACUGACGGUACCUGCAGAAUAAGCACCGGCUAACUACGUGCCAGCAGCCGCGGUAAUACGUAGGGUGCAAGCGUUAAUCGGAAUUACUGGGCGUAAAGCGUGCGCAGGCGGUUCGGAAAGAAAGAUGUGAAAUCCCAGUGCUCAACUUGGGAACUGAAGUUUUAACUGCCGUGCUAGAGUGUGUGAGAGGGAGGUGGAAUUCCGAGUGUAGCAGUGAAAUGCGUAGAUAUGCGGAGGAACACCGAUGGCGAAGGCAGCUUCCUGGGAUAAUACUGACGCUAAUGCACGAAAGCGUGGGGAGCAAACAGG